GACGAACCGUGCGAACGUUGUUCGGAUUCACUGGGCUUAAAGGGCGCGUAGGCGGGUCAGCGAGUCGGGGGUGAAAUCCCACGGCCCAACCGUGGAAGAGCUUUCGAUACUGCUGGCCUUGAGGGAGGUAGGGGCGUGUGGAACUUCCGGUGGAGCGGUGAAAUGCGUAGAUAUGCGGAGGAACACCGAUGGCGAAGGCAAUCCCCUGGACCUGUACUGACGCUCAUGCACGAAAGCGUGGGGAGCAAACAGG
rnacentral:rRNA from 1 species